UGGGGAAUUUUGGACAAUGGGCGCAAGCCUGAUCCAGCAAUGCCGCGUGAGUGAAGAAGGCCUUCGGGUUGUAAAGCUCUUUUGUCAGGGAAGAAACGGCUUGGGCUAAUAUCCUGGGCUAAUGACGGUACCUGAAGAAUAAGCACCGGCUAACUACGUGCCAGCAGCCGCGGUAAUACGUAGGGUGCAAGCGUUAAUCGGAAUUACUGGGCGUAAAGCGUGCGCAGGCGGUUUUGUAAGUCUGACGUGAAAUCCCCGGGCUCAACCCGGGAAUUGCGUUGGAGACUGCAAGGCUGGAGUCUGGCAGAGGGGGGUAGAAUUCCACGUGUAGCAGUGAAAUGCGUAGAGAUGUGGAGGAACACCGAUGGCGAAGGCAGCCCCCUGGGUCAAGACUGACGCUCAUGCACGAAAGCGUGGGGAGCAAACAGGAUUAGAUACCCUGGUAGUCCACGCCCUAAACGAUGUCUACUAGUUGUCGGGUUUUAAUUAACUUGGUAACGCAGCUAACGCGUGAAGUAGACCGCCUGGGGAGUACGGUCGCAAGAUUAAAACUUAAAGGAAUUGACGGGGUCAUAGCUGUUUCCU
rnacentral:rRNA from 1 species